GAAAAACAUACACAUUUGUUAUUCAGUCUCUGCUUGAACUGAUGCCAUCAAUGUUCAUCUCCAGCUCAUAGAACAUCUGUGUUAGGUUGAGAUCCUUCUGUUCUCUAAACUGAGUUGAGUUGAAAUUUGCUUAUUCCCUCUCCCAAUGCCACAUGAAAUCCACAUAAUGCCUCAUGUAACUGUGGAAACUGAAAAGUAAGGUACAUUAUAUUUUAGGACUACUUAGGGCCUUAAAUUUUUCCUCCUAGAAAACAGUAUGUUUUCUGUAAGUAUAAAGUCAAAAAUCCAUACUGUUCAUUCUUUUCCAGUUUAAUGUUUCAUUCUUCAUUUUUAGAGCUAAGAAUCAAAUAUUUAGUAUGAAAAACUGAUGUCCAAAAAAAGACUUUAAAGUACCCAGAAAUAUUUCUUGUAAAGUAGAAUAUUAAUUUGCUGGCACUGGUAUAUAACACUUAAGAUUAAACUUGCUUCUCCAAGAUAAGAUUAAGUUUGCAGCUUGGUAUAAAAAUUUAAAUGUUACUUAAUCCUAGCUUUCAAGAAUUCAUAAUUAAUUGAUUUCUUAAUGCAGUACAAUUUUAUUGUAUAAAUUUAAUGAUUGAACUCCCUUUAGAAAAUGUAUUACAAGGGAGAUAAGAGUUAUUUUUUCCUUUAAUUGCAUUUCAGAUCAUAUUCUAAAAGCAGUGAG
rnacentral:lncRNA from 1 species